UGAGAACCUUCCCUUCGGUCGGGAAUAGCUCAGGGAAACUUGAGGUAAUACCGGAUACGCCCUAACGGGGAAAGAUUUAUCGCCGUUGGAUGGGCCCGCGUCGGAUUAGCUUGUUGGUGAGGUAAUGGCUCACCAAGGCGACGACGGGUAGCCGGCCUGAGAGGGUGACCGGCCACACUGGGACUGAGACACGGCCCAGACUCCUACGGGAGGCAG
rnacentral:rRNA from 1 species